rnacentral:rRNA from 1 species
AUUGAACGCUGGCGGCAGGCCUAACACAUGCAAGUCGAACGAGUGGCGGACGGGUGAGUAAUGUCUGGGAAACUGCCCGAUGGAGGGGGAUAACUACUGGAAACGGUAGCUAAUACCGCAUACCAUCGGAUGUGCCCAGAUGGGAUUAGCUAGUAGGUGGGGUAACGGCUCACCUAGGCGACGAUCCCUAGCUGGUCUGAGAGGAUGACCAGCAAAAAUGGAAAUGAGACACGGGACAGACUCCGCCGGGGGGCAGCAGGGGGGAAGAGUGGACAAGGGGCGAAAGCUGGAGCCAGCCAUGCCGAGUGGGUGAAGAAGGCUUUCGGAUGGUAAAGUAUUUUCAGGGGGGAGGCGUUACCGAAAGAAGAAGCACCGGCUAACUCCGGGCCAGCAGCCGCGGUAAUAC